UGGCAGCCAGCAGUUCGCAGCGGGAAAAAGUGGCAGUAAAGAGGCCUUCCUAAAGGCAUUAUACACUAUAAUAUGAGACUUUUGGUUAUUUUUUCGAUCUUUACUGGUAUUAAUUAAACGUUUAAUGAGAAUAUACAACAUGGAACGAUAAAGUGUUCUUCAAAAGUGGAUCUAUACAAUGCCAAAGGAACCUAUAACCAAAAUUUCAUGAUUCUAGCUUUAACGGUUUGGGCUGGGCGAUGAUGAAUCAGUCAGUCAAUCAGUCACGCAAGCCUUUUAUAUAUAGAUUGAGAGAAGGAGAAUGGAUAGUUAGCUGCUGGUUUCAUACCUACAUCCUGUACAAAAAUAUUUUAACAGAUUAAAGUCUACUAAACUCACCUGCAAACAAAUCAACUGUAGUAAUGGGCGUCACAACAGUAUUACAUUCGACACCAUUACAACUGGAACCAUUUUUUUCUUUUCCGUACACUAUCCACGGUGAACCAGAAUUCAACGAACACAUAAAUCCUAUGUCGCAAAACAGAAUUUGGAUGUAAAACCAUUUCUCUUCUGCAGGGCGAUUUAAUACGAUUAACCUUAGAAUCCAAUACGCAUAUAUUAGGAUACAUCCCACCAACACGGGCGGCUUUAAUGACAGAACAAUUCGAUUUGAGAUUUAUAUAAUGCAUACUAAGAUCAACUUUGCUAUAUAUUAAUUGUGAUGAUCUUAAGGAUCCAACCAAUUGAGUACGGAUAUUGCAGUCCUGUUCCAACAGGCCAUUCAAAAUGAAAUUAUAUUAAAAUCAAAAACCAAUUCCUCAUUUCUAAAGUUAUUUUUCCAUUCUUGAUACAGACGCAAGAAUAUCAAGUGAUCGGAAGGAAUACCUUCAAAUAAAC